CAGGGAGGAGAGCAAGGAGGAAGGUCGACAGGCAUGCCCAUGCUCACCGUUGGGUCAUCCAGCAGAAAGCUGCCGUCACACCUGCAGGGACCAGCAGGACCAUGAGAUCCCGCAUCCAUCAGCUGAGAACCACUGGGUGAGGAGGGCAGGCUGGGGUGGCCUCCGCCAAGGGGCCCUGGUGGGAGAGCACUGGACAUGCUAGCAGGGGAGGAGAGAGGUGCCCUGUUUUGCCAACUUGGACUUAUGUUACGAUUACAUCUAAGGCUAGGUAAGGCACAUCCUAGGCUGACCUGGUAACCAGACCUAAAUUGCAAGGAAUCAAGGAACAGGAAGUCUUUGCCUGGAUGUUGAAGGCAGGCCCAUGUCCUUGGAAGCUGGGGAGGAACCUUCCCCUGGGACGGGCCCAGAACACCCCUGAAUUUCUGACUCAGGUAAGCAGGUCUCAGCACCCAGUGCUCGUUUCCCACAUGUGGAGCUGAAAGAUCCCUGGCACCUUCAGCAAGUUCUAGUCAACAAUCCAGUGUGCCGUUGCUCUCUAACGCUCUCCCUCCUGGGGCUGCCCUCCCUGCCCCUCCGUCUUGCAGAGAGCUAUGGGAGUCAAGCCUUACCUCCCUCCACCCCCGUCACAGUAGUCCACACCACCCUCUGCUGUCUCUGAGUCACUCCCAUCCAGGAUAGAAAAGGAGCCUGCUUGAAGACAGAGCUCACUGUGCCUCAGUGGAUCCCCAAGAAAUGACCUCAGGGGGACUCUACCCUCCCUUUAAUCCCCAUCCGCUUCUCCUCUCCUUCUCCUGGCCACCCUUCCCCACACCCUAUCCAAGUAAGACCAGUGUGCUGAUAGACCGAGACGCUGCAAGACCAACCGCCAGCGCCCCCCAACGGAGAGCAGAGUCCUGCAUAGAAAUGCUGAAGGGGCACUUAAACAUAGAAAGCAAGUUUUAACAGACCUAAAGGGAGAAAGAGACUGCAAUACAACUGUUGGGGACUUUAGUACCCACUUACAGCAGUGGAUAGAUCAUCCAGACAGAAAAUAAUAAGGAAAUGUCGGCUUUAAAUGACACAUCAGAAAUCCUGGCGGCUCCUCUGGCUCUCAUCCUUCCUGGCUGGCUGAGCUGGGGCUGGGUACAAGCUCUCCAAGCCUCAGUUUCCUCCUCUGUCAAGUGGAGAUAGUGCUCCCUGUCUUACUUGUGACGUGGAUUGAACAGAUGAUCCGUGAAGACUUGUGAGUGAUGGAGCACCAACCAGACAUGAGGAGGCUGCCAUCCCGAUGGCUGGAUCACAUGGCUCUCCCCCCGCCUCGAGCAGGCAUCUCGUCUCCGCAGGUGGACUGUGCGCAGCCGGGCGGGGCUGGGCCUCUCCGCACACAUCUGCGUGUCCCUCAGUGCCAAGCGCAGCCCCAGCGGCCGGCACCUAGGACAGUCCUCAGGAAAUACCUGAAAAUAUUGGGUGAGUUGGUCACUGCAUGUCGUUUUCUCAGCUUCCCUCACCACUCAGAGCCAAGCACUCAGUAAGCAGCUGCGUGAUGUGAGAAGCCCCAACCUCCUCACACAACCUCUUGAUGUCUGAGCAGAUGCCGUUCUCCCAUGUUGCAGCUGAGGGGAGAGAAGCCAGCGAACUUCAAACCCACCCAAAGGUGUAUAAAAGAGGAGCAGAGCCACAUGGAGACCCCCAGGCUCUUCCCUUUCCUCUCUGGCACCUGCCGACGGGCGAGGGCCAGACAGGGGCACAGCCUGUGGCUGACGUGGCUUCAGCCUCUGCCCUCUGAAGACAAAGGCACAUUGAGUCUCCGCCAGCCUGCAGCUCGUGGCCUUCUCUGUCCAGAUCUUGGCCUGUUUCCUGGUCCUGGUGGACCACGCCCCGGGGCAGGCUGCUUCGCUCACCAUUAAGAGCCUGAGGCCUUCGGAUGCAGAACUGAGAGGGGAGGAUUGGGUCUGGGUGUGAGUCAAGACCGGAAAUACAGCCCACUCAUCCCCCAAGCUUCUCGGCACCUGCCUUCUUCAGAGGCUGACGUUCCAUGUGGACCCCUCUCCUCCUCCUCCUUCCUCUCUCUCCCUCUCUUCUUCCUUCCUUUAUUUAUUUCUGCACAUGAUUAUUGAUGCACCAUAAUGUUCAUUGUAUUCAUUGCAGUCUUUUGAAAAUAACAUAAACCUAAGACAGGCUUAAGUGUUGCCUUUUGGAGCCUGGAAUUCUGUACCUUGUUAAAAAGAAAUAAAG
ensembl:lncRNA